CGUACACUCCUGCGGGAGGCAGCAGUGGGGAAUAUUGGACAAUGGGCGCAAGCCUGAUCCAGCCAUGCCGCGUGAGUGAUGAAGGCCCUAGGGUUGUAAAGCUCUUUCACCGGUGAAGAUAAUGACGGUAACCGGAGAAGAAGCCCCGGCUAACUUCGUGCCAGCAGCCGCGGUAAUACGAAGGGGGCUAGCGUUGUUCGGAUUUACUGGGCGUAAAGCGCACGUAGGCGGACUAUUAAGUCAGGGGUGAAAUCCCGGGGCUCAACCCCGGAACUGCCUUUGAUACUGGUAGUCUUGAGUUCGAGAGAGGUGAGUGGAAUUCCGAGUGUAGAGGUGAAAUUCGUAGAUAUUCGGAGGAACACCAGUGGCGAAGGCGGCUCACUGGCUCGAUACUGACGCUGAGGUGCGAAAGCGUGGGGAGCAAACAGGAUUAGAAACCCCGAGUAGUCCCAUGA
rnacentral:rRNA from 1 species